UAUAUACUCCCUCCGUCCCAAAAUCUUGUCUUAAGUUUGUCUAAAAAUCGAUGUAUCUAAAUACUAAAACUUGACUAGAUACAUUCAUAUAUACACAAAUCUAAGACAAGAAUUUUGGGGCGGAGGUAGUAUGAA
rfam:Hordeum vulgare subsp. vulgare, WGS project CAJW01000000 data, contig: morex_contig_40073